AUGUAUCCCCUUUAUUAUUAUAUAUCUAGUUAUGUACCAUAUGGCGCUCUAGUAGGUAUAUAAAAACACGCUCCUGUUCCAAUGCAAUGUUGUGUCAAGAUUUCUAAGCUAUCGGUGACGUGAAAGCAGACAUUUCCAUUUCUAUUGUACAGAUGUCAGUCUGGUGCGUCAUGGUAUAAAACUUUCCAUCCCCAUCAGUGAAUGCUCAGGGUAUAUACAGACUUUUUUAUUGAUAGGUGAGAGACCAGACGGAAACCAGAAAAUAAAUAGACUUGUGUGGGAAACAUUAUUACCUAACAUUCAGUAGCUAAACGAAGUCAGAAAUGCUUUUUUGAAUUCUAAAAUUUAUUUAUUCAUUUGUAAUACAUUUUUGUUUAUAGUUUUGAAAAAUGAAAAGGAAGAUCUUGAUAUAGAAACAGAAAAAGUAUUUUAAAUGUCUAAUCUGUAAAGAAAGAAACGGUUAUAACAAACUAGAGCCUCCUAUUUCUGGAAUGUGCCAGCAGUCCGCUCAGCCGCUGUGGAAGGAAAUGGACGCCCCCCAGCGGUCUUGCAGCGCCUGGUCCCCAGCAGCUCCGUCGCCCACCACCGGCUGUACCGGCUCCUGGUUGCUGGCGGCAUCUCCGCUAGGGACAGCUGGUACGUUUGCAGGUUCCUGCGCCAUCGCGGCCACAACC